CCUACGGGGGGCAGCAGUGGGGAAUAUUGCGCAAUGGGCGAAAGCCUGACGCAGCGACGCCGCGUGAGGGAUGAAGGUCUUCGGAUCGUAAACCUCUGUCAGCAGGGAAGAACGGUCACUGUGCUAAUCAGCAGUGAAUUGACGGUACCUGCAAAGGAAGCACCGGCUAACUCCGUGCCAGCAGCCGCGGUAAAACGGAGGGUGCGAGCGUUAGUCGGAAUUACUGGGGGUAAAGCGCUCGUAGGCGGUAUGUCAAGUCAAGGGGGAAAUCCCCGCGCUCAACGUGGGAACUGCCUUUGAAACUGGCAAACUGGAGUGUGUGAGAGGAAAGCGGAAUUCCAGGUGUAGGAGUGAAAUCCGUAGAUAUCUGGAGGAACAUCAGUGGCGAAGGCGACUAUCUGGCACAUAACUGACGCUGAGGAGCGAAAGCGUGGGUAGCAAACAGGAUUAGAUACCCUAGUAGUC
rnacentral:rRNA from 1 species